UACGGGGGGGGCAAGCGUUGUUCGGAAUUACUGGGCGUAAAGGGCUCGUAGGUGGCCAACUAAGUCAGACGUGAAAUCCCUCGGCUUAACCGGGGAACUGCGUCUGAUACUGGAUGGCUUGAGGUUGGGAGAGGGAUGCGGAAUUCCAGGUGUAGCGGUGAAAUGCGUAGAUAUCUGGAGGAACACCGGUGGCGAAGGCGGCAUCCUGGACCAAUUCUGACGCUGAGGAGCGAAAAGCCAGGGGAGCAAACGGG
rnacentral:rRNA from 1 species